CAGACCAUGGCGUGGUGCUACC
rnacentral:miRNA from 1 species